UAAGGAAUAUUGGACAAUGGGCGGAAGCCUGAUCCAGCCAUGCCGCGUGCAGGAAGAAGGCGCUCAGCGUUGUAAACUGCUUUUGGGUGGGAAUAAUAACCUCUUCGUGUAAGAGGCUUGAAGGUACCAUCAGAAUAAGCACCGGCUAACUCCGUGCCAGCAGCCGCGGUAAUACGGAGGGUGCAAGCGUUAUCCGGAAUCACUGGGUUUAAAGGGUGCGUAGGCGGUCUGAUAAGUCAGUUGUGAAAUUCCCCGGCUCAACCGGUGGAACUGCGAUUGAUACUGUCAGACUUGAAUUAGGUUGAGGUAGGCGGAAUGUGGCAUGUAGCGGUGAAAUGCAUAGAUAUGCCAUAGAACACCAAUUGCGAAGGCAGCUUGCUGGGCCUAUAUUGACGCUGAGGCACGAAAGCGUGGGGAGCAAACAGG
rnacentral:rRNA from 1 species